rfam:Rattus norvegicus chromosome 8, whole genome shotgun sequence.
UGGCUCAAUGGUUAUGAGCACUGGCUGCUAUUCCAGAGGUCCUGGGUUCAAUUCCCAG